rnacentral:rRNA from 1 species
AUUGAACGCUGGCGGCAGGCCUAACACAUGCAAGUCGAGCGGAUGAGGGGAGCUUGCUCCUGGAUUCAGCGGCGGACGGGUGAGUAAUGCCUAGGAAUCUGCCUGGUAGUGGGGGAUAACGUCCGGAAACGGGCGCUAAUACCGCAUACGUCCUGAGGGAGAAAGUGGGGGAUCUUCGGACCUCACGCUAUCAGAUGAGCCUAGGUCGGAUUAGCUAGUUGGUGGGGUAAAGGCCUACCAAGGCGACGAUCCGUAACUGGUCUGAGAGGAUGAUCAGUCACACUGGAACUGAGACACGGUCCAGACUCCUACGGGAGGCAGCAGUGGGGAAUAUUGGACAAUGGGCGAAAGCCUGAUCCAGCCAUGCCGCGUGUGUGAAGAAGGUCUUCGGAUUGUAAAGCACUUUAAGUUGGGAGGAAGGGCAGUAAGUUAAUACCUUGCUGUUUCGACGUUACCAACAGAAUAAGCACCGGCUAACUUCGUG